AUACAGCUCCACCAGUCUUGAGAUCACUCUGCUGUGAAGUCCCAAGGAGACUACGUGCAGACCUCCGCUACCCCGGAUUCCCAGGCUAGGAGGAACAAGGACCAACUUAAGAGAGUUUCCCGAGACAUCCCUGAUUUCAAAUAUCCUGUCCCGUUGUCAGACAGAGCAGCCCCUCUGAACUUUGAAUGCCCUUAAUGCUCUUUGGCCUGGAUUAAACUGCACGGAAAUUAUUGAGGCUCCGGUGGAAGUUUCAGCUAAAUCGGAUGUCUUGAUCCACCGGAUUGUCCCCGAGGCAAAAAAAAAAACCCCUCUUUAUUUGGAGGUUACCUUCUAAAGCCUUGAACUGGAAUUGACAAUUACCCGGCCUAUGGCAUUGAGUGAGGAGAGAGAUGGGAACAGGCUGGUUCCAGGAGCGGCUGUCAUUUCAACCAAUUAGACUGAAAGCCCUGGCCAGAAGUUUUUAGUACUUUUAGGCUCUAUUUCCAUCUACCUUCAGGGCAGAAGACCUUGUCCUCUCUAUCAGCAGCCUCUGGACACAAGAAAUGGAUGGGCUGCGGGCGCUCAUCUCUUCCCUCCUAUGAUCUGCUUUUCUCCUGCCCACUCUGCUCUUCCCACCCAACAAGCUCCCAGUGACCUGCUGGAAGUGCUAUCAUUCAGUCUGUUACCCAUCUCUGCCUCCCUUCCUGAUCCCCAAAGUGUCCCUUUUAAAUGAAGAACAUGAGGUAAAUAGGCAGGUUUAGAGGCAAGAGAUUUAGCUUUGAAAUGAUCAUAUAUGAUAGUGUUAAGAGUCCAUCCCUGGGCUGGUGAGAUGGCUCAGUGGGUAAGAGCACCCGACUGCUCUUCCGAAGGUCCGAAGUUCAAAUCCCAGCAACCACAUGGUGGCUCACAACCACCCAUAAUGAGAUCUGACGCCCUCUUCUGUAGCUGUCUGAAGACAGCUACAGUGUACUUACAUAUAAUAAAUAAAUAAAUAAAUAAAUAAAUCUUUAAAAAAAAAAAAAAAAGAGUCCAUCCCUGCAGAAAGUUUUUGGUCAUAUUUGUGUUAGAAGUCAAAGCUUGGUUCCUGGCCACCCUCAUAACUAAGCUAGGUUCAUCCACCUGUCCUCAAUGGGUCAGAUAAAUCACACACACACACAACAAAAC
rnacentral:lncRNA from 1 species